rnacentral:tRNA from 1 species
GGAAGGGCGAUGUCCCCGGUGGGGCACCUGGUCUUCAAAACCAGUGAGGUGUAUAAAAUGCGCCUGGUGGGUUCGACUCCUACCUCUUCCGCCA